CCGCGUGUGUGAAGAAGGCCUUCGGGUUGUAAAGCANUUUAAGCAGGGAGAAAAAAAUAUAGGUUAAUACCCUAUGUUCUUGAUGUUACCUGCAGAAUAAGCACCGGCUAAUUCCGUGCCAGCAGCCGCGGUAAU
rnacentral:rRNA from 1 species